GACACUGCCCCCCAUCAGGGACAAAGGUCACCCCUGGGCUGGCCCCCAUCCUCUAUUGGAGACCUUGCUCCUCCAUGCCCUGGGGAGGAAGAAGAGAAAUAAGGGUGGGUCAUUGACUGGGUGCUCUUGGUCCUCCUACAAGAAUGUGUGAUGAGGGAGAAGCAGAGACCCAUCCACCCCAGCACAAACAUGCUUGCACUUCUCUUUCCUCACUAAGGGCUCUCAGGGUCCACGUCAAGGCUCCAGCAGUCGUCCACCAUUGCUCCCUACGUCACACUCCGGAGGGGUCUCAAUGCCGAAAGCAGCAAGGUGACCUUCCCUAGACCUAAGAGUGCCUUGGAGCGCCUGUA
rnacentral:sRNA from 1 species